rnacentral:lncRNA from 1 species
ACACCAUGAAGCAUAAUUUUAUUCACAAAUGUCUGCAUUUCAGAUUACAGAGAAAAAAUUGGAAACCAUCCAAAAAUUGAAGAGAACUGAAUAAAUAACGAUAUAGCCACAUGAUGGAGUAUUUGCAGCCAUUAAAAGAUGCUUUAAAGACAAAAAAUGUUUAUAAACAUGGAAGAUUUUUUUAAAGACAUGAUACAAAAUUAUAUACAUAUUAUAUAAACAUUUCGCAGAAAAAAAGAUGGAGAUACAACAAAAUGAUAAAAGUACUACAUUUAGUGGCACUUUCCUGUUUGUUUUUCUAUGCCUUCUAAAUUUUCCAUAAUGUGCAUUUACUACUCGUUAGAGUGGAAAGUAAAAUAAAGGAAGAGUGUUUCCUGAAGGAAGGGCUUUAUUCAGGGUCUUUCUUAUCAGUAGAAUGAAGCAGCACCACCACGACCUUUAUUUUAAACAGUGUAUUAGCAAUUACAGAGUCUGUUCGUUUCUUAGUAAUGUGGCCCUAAGUCCUUUACCUUUUUCGGCUGCUAUCUUUAUAGUCAGCUUAUAGUCCAACAAAACCUUUUUUGUAAAACCUAAAAUUCUAGACUUUAUCUCUCCAUUAUUUUGUACCAUUGGUUUAGAAAGACAGGUGACAUUUCAUUUUAUUAGGUUUAGCCCAUUGUCCAAAUUUGUCAGGAUCCCUUUUGGUACCAACUUUGUCUUCUCAUACAAGAGCUACUUCUUCCAGUGGCAGGUCACUUGCAAAUUUUCUUAACCUGCCACCAAUAUCCUCAAAUCAGAAAUUUAUUAAAAUGUCACAUAAGGUAAAAUGAGGGCAGAAACUGUGAUUUCACACCAGCAUAGAUCCAUCAAUGAGCAACCUUUGAAAACAGCUUUGGAAGGGUUAGACACCCACUUCAUUAAAUCCCUACGCAACCCUCAUCUCUCCCUCUUAUCCAAAGAUUUUAUGAGAAAUUGUUCAAUGACUCUUUGGAACCAACAUAUAAGCAUUCCUGGAUAAACAUGUUAUAAGAUUCUCAUACAGCCUGUGGAUUUUCUUAUUUUUGACUAAGGGAUACUUGUUUUCUGCUAUUCUAUGGGAAAUAGCAUAAAAUCAGCAGUAAAGAUAAGAUUCAGUAUCUCUAGAUUCAUGCAUUACCACAUUGACCAAACCAGAAAGUUUGCUGUAUUUAAAUUGUCUUAGGGCCAGGCACAGUGGAUCAACUGA